UACGAGGGGGGCGAGCGUUGUUCGGAAUUAUUGGGCGUAAAGAGCUCGUAGGCGGUCUGUCGCGUCGGCUGUGAAAACCCGGAGCUCAACUCCGGACCUGCAGUCGAUACGGGCAAACUGGAGUACUGCAGGGGAGACUGGAAUUCCUGGUGUAGCGGUGAAAUGCGCAGAUAUCAGGAGGAACACCGGUGGCGAAGGCGGGUCUCUGGGCAGUAACUGACGCUGGAGGAGCGAAAAGCGUGGGGAGCGAACAGG
rnacentral:rRNA from 1 species